GCCCUCCACAGUCCGCCCCCUCAGAUCUCAAUACGGGUCUGAGUGGUUAAAAAAGGAGGAAAAGUACAACUGAAGUGGACUUGGAGUCUUUCAUAACAUACAAGUUCAUUUCAAACAUAA
rnacentral:snoRNA from 1 species